rnacentral:rRNA from 1 species
UACGGGGGGGGCAAGCGUUGUUUGGAAUUAUUGGGCGUAAAGAGCUUGUAGGCGGCUCAUUGCGUCAACCGUGAAAACCAGCAGCUCAACUGUUGGCUUGCGGUUGAUACGGGUGGGCUGGAGUUCGGUAGGGGAGACUGGAAUUCCUGGUGUAGCGGUGAAAUGCGCAGAUAUCAGGAGGAACACCGGUGGCGAAGGCGGGUCUCUGGGCCGAUACUGACGCUGAGGAGCGAAAGCGUGGGGAGCGAACAGG